AGAGUGGGCAAUCGGACUAAGGAAGGUGGGUACCGUGCGUAAAAGUACCACCGGUACUUGGUAACAUAAAGACCCAAGAGAGAGUGGGCUACCCAUAGUCUGAUAGCCCAAAAAGAGAGUGGGCAAUCGGACUAAGGAAGGUGGGUACCAGGGCAGAAAAGUACCACCGGCCCAGUGUGGACUUAUGCUCUGGCUGGAAAGCGGCCGGGUGACCAGGUGCACAUGGGCCUUUUUAGGUGACCAGGUGCACACCGUUCAUUUUGGGUGACCAGGUGCACAACAUCCAUUUCGGGUGACCAGGUGCACACCGUUCAUUUUGGGUGACCAGGUGCACAUGGGCCUUUUUGGGUGACCAGGU